rnacentral:snRNA from 1 species
GUACAUACCUGGCAGGGGAGAUACGGUGAUUAUGGAGGUGGUUUUCCCAGGGCAAGUCAUAUGCACUGCACUCUGGAUGUGCUGACUCUUGCAACUUCCCCAAAUAUGGGAAACUUGACCGUAUGAUUUGUGGUAGUGGGGGACUACACUCGCACUCUCCUU